rnacentral:rRNA from 1 species
GGCCACAUUCCACGUGGUCUGUGCCGCAGCUAACGCAUUAAGCGCCCCGCCUGGGGAGUACGGCCGCAAGGCUAAAACUCAAAGGAAUUGACGGGGGCCCGCACAAGCGGCGGAGCAUGUGGCUUAAUUCGAUGCAACGCGAAGAACCUUACCUGGGUUUGACAUGCAGGGAAAUCUCGUAGAGAUACGGGGUCCGUAAGGGCCUUGCACAGGUGGUGCAUGGCUGUCGUCAACUCGUGUCGUGGGAUGUUGGGUUAAGUCCCGCAACGAGCGCAACCCUCGUCCUAUGUUGCCAGCGAGUAACGUCGGGGACUCAUAGGAGACUGCCGGGGUCAACUCGGAGGAAGGUGGGGAUGACGUCAAGUCAUCAUGCCCCUUAUAUCCAGGGCUGCACACAUGCUACGAUGGCCAGUACAAAGAGCUGCGAUACCGCAAGGUGGAGCGAAUCUCAUAAAGCCGGUCUCAGUUCGGAUUGGGGUCUGCAACUCGACCCCAUGAAGUCGGAGUC